rnacentral:lncRNA from 1 species
ACAUUAAAAAAAUUCUUUAUAUAUUUUUUUUUAAAAUAGCAAAUAGCUGAUACUUUAUUGCUGUGAGAAAAUUCAACGGUUACAGGCCUAGUAACCAGAAAUUAAUAGCUGUAAACAAAACAUUGAUUACCUAAACGGUACAUUUAAAGACUAGCCAGAAGAAAGAAAAAACCAUUAAAUCAACAGUACGAAAUGAACCGACAGAAAAUUAAAAAAAAUGCAGGCCUGAGACCCUUUCUCACUUUUGCUUGAAAAAUCCCUCUUUUAUCAGCCAAAUGAGAGAACAGUCUUCUUUUAAAAUCAAUCUAUGAAUCUCCGUCUCUGUUAACAACUCAAGCUCUUUGGACCAAUCCCUUGCCAACCCGUCCGGACUCUGUUUUACCAUUCACUGGUCGUUAACAUCUCGUCUUCUCUCGCGAUCUAUCAGUUCAACCACCGCAAUCGGCGCCUCCUUAAUCUAGUAUUAGGGACUUUCGUAUUGUCUUCCUACUCGUGCCAUUCCAUGAGUCGCGUGGUUAGCCUCCCUGAGUAUAUAUUCGAGGCUCAGACUUUUGAAUCUACAUGCUCUCCCUUUUAUUUCUCGAAUUAAACUUCUUAUGUUCGAUAGGUCAUCAUCAGAGGAUUUAAGUUUGCGUAUGACAGUCAACGCGUCUCCUUCCACCACAACGUCUUGGAAGCCCAUUUCCUCUGCCAUAGUGACUGCUUGUAGACACGCUCUUGCCUCCGCCAUAACUGGGUCUGGAACAUUCUCCCAUGGGAAGGUACAUGCAGCCAUGAUUAACCCAUCUUUAUUUCGCACUAAAAUUCCUGAUACUGAUCUCCCCGUGUGCUGAUUAAAGGACGUAUCAAAAUUAAUUUUAAUAGUAUCAUCUUUUGGGGGUGUCCAUAUAUCUUUCUCCACUUCAUUUGCAUGUCUGGAAGCCUGUCCCAUAGAAUUAAUUUCUGCAUAAUAAGCCCUGAUAAAAGCUAUUAUUCCAUGAACUGAUUCUCUGAAACCUUUGUGAUAGAUCUUGUUGCGAUUAAACCAGAUAGCCCAGUAGGCGAUUGAUCUAAGCGUAUUCAUUUCUGCAUCUUGACUUUCAACUACUUGUUCUAACCAUUUUUUCCAAUUGGGUUCUGUAUUACAUUUUGUAUCUACCACACCAAUCCUUCGCAAGACCUGCUGCGUCAAGGGGCAAUCUCGAAACAAAUGGCUCAUCGUUUCCUCCUCCAACUGACACACCAGGCAUAUUGCAUUAUUUACCAAUUUUCGAAUUCGUAAAUUGAACAAAGUGGGUAUAAAUUCAUUAGCAAUUCUCCACAUAAGGAUACAAAUUUUGCUCGGUAUCUUGAGUCCCCAUGGCUUUGUAUAAAAAGAAGUAGGCCUGUCAAUGUAUAAUCUAGAAUUCCCUGUAGCAUUAAUCCACUUGUAACCACUUUUAACUGUAUAUUCCCCUAUAUUAUCUCUUCUCCAAAUAAGCUGAUCAUGCGAUCUGCUACUCACCAAAGGGAUUGAUAGGAUGCUCUUCAGUUGCUCCUCGCCAAAUAAUGAUCUGAUUGUGUCCUGCUUCCAGGUAAUGGUAUCCUUAUCAAUUAAAUCCGAAACAGUAGUGUAUCAAAUAUCAAUGUUUUGACAUUGCACUCUGCCACUCCUAGGAAUUGGCACCCAACUGUCGCUCCAAAUGUUGAUUGACUCCCCGUUUCCUACUCGCCACCCCAUACCGUCCUCAAGAAUUUGUCUAGCACUCCAUAUACUUUGCCAGGUAAACAAAGGGUAAGAACCUAACCCAGCACUCAAAAAAUCACCCAUUGGAAAAUAUUUUUCUUUCAUGACACGCGCAAAUAAACAGUGAGGCUGCGUAAUGAUUUUCCAACCCUGCUUCGCUAACAUGGCCAAAUUAAAUUUUUCUAGAUCCCUAAAACCUAAACCACCAUUUGCUUUGGGGAUACAUAAAUCACCCACUUGCACCAAUGUAUACCUUUAUUGGUUUUGGAAUUCUGCCACCAGAAUUUGCUCAUAAUGCUCUCUAACUCCAGACAAAACGAGGCUGAAAGUUUAAAACAUUGCAUUGCAUAAAUCAGAAUUGCUUGUAAAAUGGAUUUUAAAAAUACCUCUUUUCCCCGUUAAUAAAAAUCUCAAACUCCAAUUGUUCAAUAAUUUCAAAAAUCGCUCUUUGAUGUGCACAAAUGCAUGUUUUUUCUGUUGUCCAACCAUUGUUGGCAACCCCAGAUAUUUUUCCGGAUUAUUCGAUAUCCUUACUCCUAAGAUUCCUCCCACCUGUAUCUGUGUCUACGGACCCACAUUACUGCUGAAAUAAAUCAAAGACUUAUCAAAAUUCACCAAUUGACCAGAUACCUUCUUAUAUUCAUUGAUCACACUCUUCAUAUUAUUUGCUCUUUCAACCGACGCACCCCUAAAAAGUAUACUGUCAUCCACAAAGAAUAAGUGGGAAGCUGAAACAUUACUCCUUCCUAUUUUAGUCCCAAUGAGCUUGUCUUCCCUCUUAGCCAACACGAUUGGACGUGAAAAGCCUUCCGCACAAAUUAGGAAUAAAUACGGGCUUAGAGGAUCUCACUGUCUAAGACCUCUUUGAGGCAUAAACUCCUCCCCAAUAAUUCCAUUGAGCAUAACUGAAUACUUGACGCUAGAAACACACUUCAUAAUAAACGUGAUCCAUUCUUCACAAAAGCCUAGCUUACGCAUCAUAUUCUCUAAGAAACCCCAUUUUAUACGAUCAUAGGCUUUACUCAUAUCAAGCUUUAACGCAAAACCCUUUUUCGACGAUCCUCUUCUCUUCUUAAAUGAAUGGAGAAUUUCAUACGCCAUGAAGAUAUUAUCCGUAAUUUGCCUCCCUGUUAUGAACGC